UGAAAGGUUAAAAAAAUUAUCUAAAGGAAAACUUAAUGAGAAGUUAGUAAAAUUGUAUUCAAUUAUUUUGAUUAUUAUGUUUAUUACAUGAUCUCCUUCCUAAUGUGCUAAAAGGGCAAAAAUAAUAGAUUGGUAUAUUUAAGAGACAUUUAGUAAUGAUUCUAGAAUUUUAAAGGGUUUUUAAAAUUGUAUAAUGCUUAAACUAUUUAAUUAUUUCUAUAAGACUAUGAAAUUGAUUAUACAAUAUAAAGAGAUCAAGUCAUUUACUAUUAUUUGGACACAAAUAGAGAAAAAUAUGGUGGAAACUCCGAAUAAGACUUUUGACAGGGCUUGUAAAACAGAUAAAGAUUGUCCUAAACUUCGAGGAGUUAAUGUUAGGUGUCGUAAAGAUCAAUGUGUAACGGUCUAAAAGACCCUAAUGAGAGAAAUGAGUUCUUUCUCUGGCAAGAUAAUUGUACAAUAUACAUUAUGCUAGAAUAUUCCACUUGUUGUCAUUUAAUUUUUGUGCAUGCUCUCAAUAACUAUUUUUUCUUCUUUUGUUCUUCGUAAUUUCAUGGACCUUGAUGUUAUAAUUUUGUACUCUAAGAUGAUAUAAAUGAUAUAAGGCAACAAAGAUUUUUAUUUA